rnacentral:rRNA from 1 species
UGGGGAAUAUUGCACAAUGGGCGCAAGCCUGAUGCAGCCAUGUCGCGUGUAUGAAGAAGGCCUUCGGGUUGUAAAGUACUUUCAGUCGGGAGGAAGGUGGUAAGGUUAAUAACCUUAUCAAUUGACGUUACCGACAGAAGAAGCACCGGCUAACUCCGUGCCAGCAGCCGCGGUAAUACGGAGGGUGCAAGCGUUAAUCGGAAUUACUGGGCGUAAAGCGCACGCAGGCGGUUGAUUGAGUCAGAUGUGAAAUCCCCGGGCUUAACCCGGGAAUUGCAUCUGAUACUGGUCAGCUAGAGUCUUGUAGAGGGGGGUAGAAUUCCAUGUGUGGCGGUGAAAUGCGUAGAGAUGUGGAGGAAUACCGGUGGCGAAGGCGGCCCCCUGGACAAAGACUGACGCUCAGGUGCGAAAGCGUGGGGAGCAAACAGG